rnacentral:lncRNA from 1 species
CACACACACACACACACACACACACGAAUGUCUAGCUUACACACCCUAGCAUUUUCCCACCUGCUGGAAGUCGUACACAUACAUUACUGCAACGAUGGAGAGUGAAUUCUCAAGUUCAUCUCUGUGAGCUGAGAAAAUGUGCAGACAGGAGGCAGCUCCCCGCCACGGCCGCUGGAGCUCAGAGAGCCUUCUUCACCAGCAAAGCCAAACUAAGCUCCCUUCCAGCUUUUCCUCGAGGGCAGUGACUUAUCAAUGAUGAAACUUCCAGGUCCUUAGCCUCCUAUCCUGUCAUGAGAAUCUAUCAUUUCCACACCGUUGACUGGAGCCUAAAUGCUGCUUUGGGUGUAGAAGAAAAAGAAAUAAAGCUGAAAGAAUAUUCACAGCCACCCCCGCAGGCAGUUAUGAAAACUCAGCUGAAAGGAUUGUGUCUGGCUUCCCGGAGAAGAAAGGAGAAAGAGGAAAGACAAAAACAGUCAAGAGCUGACAAAUUCCAGAGUCCCUUCAGAAGAUUAGCCCUGAGCUAACUACUGCCAAUCCUCCUCUUUUUUCUGAGGAAGACUGGCCCUGAGCUGACAUCCAUGCCCAUCUUCCUCUACUUUGUACGUGGGAUACCUAUCACAGCAUGGCUUUUUGCCAAGCGGUGCCAUGUCCGCACCCAGGAUCCGAACCAGCGAACCCCAGGCCGCCAAGAAGCAGAACGUGCGAACUUAACUGCUGCAUUACAGGGCCAGACCCUUAAUUCCUG